CUGUGGCACCGGGCAGAAGCUACUUUUCUCCUAUGCAUCUGCAGUGUUUUCCUCCCAAGUCCAAGGAAGCUGGUCAUAAUCUGAAGAUGAUCUUGCCAUCAACUGUUCCUGCAGAUAGCACCAGGGAGCCCUUUGUCUGUAACAUAAGCCGCUGUUUGUCCCAGGAAUUAGGCUUCAAAAGUUAUCAGAUGAGAUCUCCUCUGUAACUUCUUGCUGUUGGGAGACAAUCACCCACAAUCCCACAGAGAGAGGGAGAGAAAGAGAGCCACUGGCUCAGCUGUGAUCAGGUGUCAUUCAUCAUCACUUUCUACACAUACUGCAAGACAUGGUUUGUUUAUCAAGUUAAGAUUUAUUAGAAAUGUUUGCUCAUAUUUCGGAACACUGGCAGAACAAGUUACUCACAAUCUAAGGUUUUACUAUAUAUUGUUUGGAUGUGUUUUCCUGUUUUCAUACUUAUUGUAAAUAUAAGUAUGCUUUACAUUUGGGGGAUACACAGAAAGGAAAAAAUAAUCUUAAGACCCCACUUUGAAGAUUUGGCAUAAAGCUCCAAAGUUCUAAAUAACCCUGUUAUCUAUCUUCCCUUCUUCAAAGUAUUUCUUCACUCCCCAGUUCAGAGUGAGUAGAAAAAUAUCAACUUGAGUCAUGAUACUGUGAGGUUCUGUGUGAUUCUGGCUUAAGGAAAGCCAGGGGUAUUUAAUCCCAGGUUGAAAUAUGCCGAGGAACGAAGGAAGUAUUGGGAGGAAAAUAUCACUGCAAUAGUU
rnacentral:lncRNA from 1 species